rnacentral:rRNA from 1 species
UACGAAGGGGGCUAGCGUUGUUCGGAAUUACUGGGCGUAAAGCGCAUGUAGGCGGCGAUUCAAGUCGGGGGUGAAAUCCCAGGGCUCAACCCUGGAACUGCCUUCGAUACUGUUUUGCUAGAGUGUGGAAGAGGUAAGUGGAACUGCAAGUGUAGAGGUGAAAUUCGUAGAUAUUUGCAAGAACACCAGUGGCGAAGGCGGCUUACUGGUCCAUUACUGACGCUGAGAUGCGAAAGCGUGGGGAGCAAACAGG